GCGGACAUGGCGGAAUUGGUAGACGCGCUAGAUUCAGGAUCUAGUGAGGGAAUCUCCUCGUGGGAGUUCGAAUCUCCCCUUCGGCACCA
rnacentral:tRNA from 1 species